CAGUAGCCGCGGUAAUACGGAGGGUGCAAGCGUUAAUCGGAAUUACUGGGCGUAAAGCGCACGCAGGCGGUCUGACAAGUCAGAUGUGAAAUCCCCGGGCUUAACCUGGGAACUGCAUUUGAAACUGUCAGGCUGGAGUCUUGUAGAGGGGGGUGGAAUUCCAGGUGUAGCGGUGAAAUGCGUAGAGAUCUGGAGGAAUACCGGUGGCGAAGGCGGCCCCCUGGACAAAGACUGACGCUCAGGUGCGAAAGCGUGGGGAGCAAACAGGAUUAGAGACCCGUGUAGUCCCUGUCUCUUAUAA
rnacentral:rRNA from 1 species